GACGAACGCUGGCGGCGUGCUUAACACAUGCAAGUCGAACGGAAAGGCCCUGCUUUUGUGGGGUGCUCGAGUGGCGAACGGGUGAGUAACACGUGAGUAACCUGCCCUUGACUUUGGGAUAACUUCAGGAAACUGGGGCUAAUACCGGAUAGGAGCUCCUGCUGCAUGGUGGGGGUUGGAAAGUUUCGGCGGUUGGGGAUGGACUCGCGGCUUAUCAGCUUGUUGGUGGGGUAGUGGCUUACCAAGGCUUUGACGGGUAGCCGGCCUGAGAGGGUGACCGGCCACAUUGGGACUGAGAUACGGCCCAGACUCCUACGGGAGGCAGCAGUGGGGAAUAUUGCACAAUGGGCGGAAGCCUGAUGCAGCAACGCCGCGUGCGGGAUGACGGCCUUCGGGUUGUAAACCGCUUUCGCCUGUGACGAAGCGUGAGUGACGGUAAUGGGUAAAGAAGCACCGGCUAACUACGUGCCAGCAGCCGCGGUGAUACGUAGGGUGCGAGCGUUGUCCGGAUUUAUUGGGCGUAAAGGGCUCGUAGGUGGUUGAUCGCGUCGGAAGUGUAAUCUUGGGGCUUAACCCUGAGCGUGCUUUCGAUACGGGUUGACUUGAGGAAGGUAGGGGAGAAUGGAAUUCCUGGUGGAGCGGUGGAAUGCGCAGAUAUCAGGAGGAACACCAGUGGCGAAGGCGGUUCUCUGGGCCUUUCCUGACGCUGAGGAGCGAAAGCGUGGGGAGCGAACAGGCUUAGAUACCCUGGUAGUCCACGCUGUAAACGGUGGGUACUAGGUGUGGGGUCCAUUCCACGGGUUCCGUGCCGUAGCUAACGCUUUAAGUACCCCGCCUGGGGAGUACGGCCGCAAGGCUAAAGCUCAAAGGAAUUGACGGGGCCCCGCACAAGCGGCGGAGCAUGCGGAUUAAUUCGAUGCAACGCGUAGAACCUUACCUGGGUUUGACAUGGAUCGGGAGUGCUCAGAGAUGGGUGUGCCUCUUUUGGGGUCGGUUCACAGGUGGUGCAUGCCUGUCGUCAGCUCGUGUCGUGAGAUGUUGGGUUAAGUCCCGCAACGAGCGCAACCCUUGUUCACUGUUGCCAGCACGUUAUGGUGGGGACUCAGUGGAGACCGCCGGGGUCAACUCGGAGGAAGGUGGGGAUGACGUCAAGUCAUCAUGCCCCUUAUGUCCAGGGCUUCACGCAUGCUACAAUGGCUGGUACAGAGAGUGGCGAGCCUGUGAGGGUGAGCGAAUCUCGGAAAGCCGGUCUCAGUUCGGAUUGGGGUCUGCAACUCGACCUCAUGAAGUCGGAGUCGCUAGUAAUCGCAGAUCAGCAACGCUGCGGUGAAUACGUUCCCGGG
rnacentral:rRNA from 1 species